UAGCCUACGGGGGGCAGCAGUAGGGAAUCUUCCACAAUGGACGAAAGUCUGAUGGAGCAACGCCGCGUGAGUGAAGAAGGGUUUCGGCUCGUAAAGCUCUGUUGGUAGGGAAGAAAGAUAGAGGGAGUAACUGGCCUUUAUUUGACGGUAAUUACUUAGAAAGUCACGGCUAACUACGUGCCAGCAGCCGCGGUAAUACGUAGGUGGCAAGCGUUGUCCGGGAUUAUUGGGCGGAAAGCG
rnacentral:rRNA from 1 species